AGUGGACACUCUAUUUCUACAUUUUUCACGCAACACCAUGAAAUUGAUGCUAGUGAUGCUUGUGCUUCUUCCUCUCGCGAACUCCUUCAUAAACAUCGUCUUCCGCCGAGAAGGCAACCGCAGGAAGGAGAGUAAGGCGCACAGUCUUUCUGCACGACUGGACAAUGAGGACGCCAUACGUUCGUUUGUGGAACACGAGGGAGAAAGUGAAGUAAUCGACAAUGAAAAACUUUCAGAGACUGAAGAUGGCAGCAAGACUAACGCUAUCCUCAAGUGAAACAUUCUGUACACAAGGCCUAUAUGGCGAAAAGAAAGACUCAUCUUUCUACACGAUUAAGUCAUAUUAGAGCGAUUAAACGGUAAUGACAUCAA